AACAAAAAAAGAUUUUCAUUUUUAUUUUUGUGUCAUUUAGAAUAAAAUUUAUUAAAUUGUUGCAUUAAAACAAAGCAAAUUUGAAACAAACAAAUUAUGAUUAGACUAGAUUAAACAAAUUUAAUAAAUUUUUGAAAAAAAACAAACUGGGCAGAAGGAAAAAGGUGAAAAUAUCAUGGCCAGCAGCAAUCAUUUUGAGACACCCACAAUUGCAUCGAAUUCAUCAUCGAACGCGGAGUUUUAUGAUGCAGAAAGUAAUGAUGAUAGUGAUACAUGUUGUGUUUUCAAGAGCUUAGCCGAAAUAGAAGUGACGCGAAUAACUAAAGAGGGAAAGUUUACAGAAGAAUUCUGCUGUGCUAAAUGCGGACGAAGUGUACAGGAACUUAUAGACAGGGAAAAGUUGAAACAAGAAGAACUUAAAACAAAUGCUUUAGAUAAAAUGCAAACACUAGCUGAAGUCGAACCUUUGGAAAAACAAGAACUACAUACAAACAACACUAGCAAUGAUUCACGAGCUUUAGAAUCGAUUUCCGAAAGCGAUUCCUUUACCACACCGGAACUUUCAAAAGACUCGGUUUUAGAGGUAUCACCGGAACAAAACAUAAAAAAUGAUACCAAUAACGCUUUAACAAACACAAAUUCCUUGAGUAGUGCCGAUAGUGCUCUAAUACAGGAUCCCAUAUGGCGUGGCCAUAAAAAACAUAUUUUCAUAUUGAGUGAGGCUGGUAAACCCAUUUACUCUCUACAUGGUAGCGAAGAUAAAUUGGCAAUACUAUUUGGUAUUAUACAGGCUCUAGUGAGUUUUGUGGAAAAUACUCAAGAUGUUUUAACGUCCAUACAUGCCCGUGGCAUACAGUUUGUGUUUAUGAUUAAAAGCCAUUUAAUAUUUGUUGCCGCCUCAAGGACAAAUAUGAGUGUUGCGCAAUUGCAAAUGCAAUUAAACGAUGUUCACAAUCAAAUUCUAUCUACGCUUACAUUCACCCAAUUAACGAAAAUUUUCCAACAUCGUAAAAAUUUCGAUUUACGCCGUCUACUAGAGGGUAGCGAACGUUUAAUAAAUAAUCUGUUGUUGAACGACAGUAGCAAUAAAAAAGUAACAAAUAAUGUGUUUACAUUUCUAACCAAUUCAAUAAGAUGUCUACCCAUGCAGCCGUCGAUACGUUCCAGUAUAGUGAGUGCUAUAAAGGAUAAUUGUGGUAAAAUUAAGAAUUUAGUAUUUGCCAUAUUAAUAGCAAAGAAUCGUUUAAUAUGUUUGGUACGCAUGAAAAAGUAUUCAAUACAUCAAUCGGAUUUAAGAUUAAUUUUUAAUUUAAUCGAUAGUACGGAAUCAUUUAAAACCUCUGAAAAUUGGACACCUAUUUGUUUGCCCAAAUUCGAUAUGAAUGGUUAUUUGCAUGCUCAUGUUUCGUAUCUAGAUGAUGAAUGUCCAGCCUGUUUACUAUUGCUCACUGUCGAUCGUGAUGAUUUCUUUACCCUAUCGAGUGCUAAGAAAUCCAUUACAGAAAAAAUGAAACGUUCUCAAUGUUUGGAAAAUAUCAACGAAUCGGUGCAGCAUAUAACAAAUCUUAAAUAUCAAUUAAAUGCUCAAAAUAUUGGCAUUCCUGAAUUGAGGCAUUUCAUUUAUAAACCUAAAUCAACUGCUCAAGUACUAUGUUCAGAAUUAGUACCACCCUAUACAUCGCUGAUGGAAUUUGAACGUUUAGAGGGUAUUUACUGUGAUCUAAUGGAAAGAGUACAUCAUACAGCGAGACCUUUGAAAUUAAUAUUUGAAGCAAAAAGUAGUGAAGUUAUAUUGGCCUGGUCCACGGCUACCUAUGAACUUUAUGCCAUUUUUGAACCUUUAACAAAGAAAAGUACUGUCAUUAAAAAUGUUGAUAAAUUAAUUAAAUGGAUUGAUAAGGAAUAUGAUACCUAUUUUAUACGUACUCAUCCAACAUUUUGAUGAUGAUGUUUGAAAUUUGAAAUAUAUACAUACAACAACAACAAGAAAAGCAAUUUCAACAACUUUAAGUAUUCUUCAAUGUUAACAAUUAAACACAAUUAAAUCUACUCAGCUAAUAAAAUCGAUUUGCUGCUGUGUGAUCCUUGCACUAUGGAAUUGUGUACAAAAAAAAAAAACAACAAAAUUUCAAGAAAUCAAAAACAAAAAAGAAUUAUUCAAGAAACCACAAGUUUAAACUUUGAGAGUUUUUAAUAGCAAAAGAACGAGCAUGUUUGCAGAUAAAACAGGUAAUUA